UUCUGCUGUUGAUGUGGUGGUUCUCUGCUAUAUCAUCAAAUGUAGUAGCAAGCAGCUCUUUCAUCAUAACUAAUUCUUGUUGUUCACAUGAUUGUUGUGUUUGUAUGUUGCUCUUGUAGGCAACAUAUUUGACGAGAAUAUUACAAUAGACAACAAACUUAUAAAGUCAAGCAGAUGGCCUUGUACGCGAUCAUAUGCAGACCCAGUGCAGGCUUUUGAAGACCAGAACAGCAGUGAAUCGGUCACUAUUAAUGAGACCUUUUCUAACAUCUCAAAUGGGAAGCACCUUCCGAAGAAGAAUGAUGGCUAAACUGUGGAAGAACCAAUGAGAGAUUGUUUGUACUGCUUUGGAAGAAGCAAUCCGAU